rnacentral:rRNA from 1 species
UGGUCUGGGAUGGACUCGCGGCCUAUCAGGUUGUUGGUGGGGUAAUGGCUCACCAAGCCUACGACGGGUAGCCGGCCUGAGAGGGUGACCGGCCACACUGGGACUGAGACACGGCCCAGACUCCUACGGGAGGCAGCAGUGGGGAAUAUUGCACAAUGGGCGAAAGCCUGAUGCAGCAACGCCGCGUGGGGGAUGACGGCCUUCGGGUUGUAAACCUCUUUUAGUACAGAAGAAGCCUUUGGGUGACGGUAUGUGCAGAAAAAGCACCGGCUAACUACGUGCCAGCAGCCGCGGUAAUACGUAGGGUGCAAGCGUUGUCCGGAAUUAUUGGGCGUAAAGAGCUCGUAGGCGGUUUGUCGCGUCUGCUGUGAAAUCCUGAGGCUCAACCUCGGGCUUGCAGUGGGUACGGGCAGACUAGAGUGCGGUAGGGGAGAUUGGAAUUCCUGGUGUAGCGGUGGAAUGCGCAGAUAUCAGGAGGAACACCGAUGGCGAAGGCAGAUCUCUGGGCCGUAACUGACGCUGAGGAGCGAAAGCAUGGGGAGCGAACAGGAUUAGAUACCCUGGUAGUCCAUGCCGUAAACGUUGGGAACUAGAUGUAGGGGCCAUUCCACGGUUUCUGUGUCGCAGCU